GGUUAGUGCGCUUUGCGAAUUUACAUGCCUUAUCUUGUGGUAUGAACUGAGUACGCGAUAAUUUAUGGUGUGUAUUGGGGGCUUACCAUAAGAUAAUGUCGUAAAUUCGUAAAGCAUUCAAACC
rnacentral:pre_miRNA from 1 species